rnacentral:lncRNA from 1 species
CCUGGAGCUCAAGGGAAGGCUGGCCCGGGCCCGCCCCGUAAGGACCGGCAAGCCGCACCUGUCUCUCCGUCGCCCUCCGGACUCGCAGGCCUUGCCCCCGCACGGCACUACCUACCCGAUUUGUUUUUGUUCUUCCGCCGCACCAGCCUUGGCUGUUUCUCCCAGCACGUGGCAGAAGAUGCCGCCCCUUCCACUCCCAACGUUACAAGGAUGUUUCUCAAACGUCUGAGUUGGUCCUCUCCGCGUCCAUUCCAAAGUCACAGAAAAAUAUCUGAGCAGUUGAGAUGGUCAGAGCGGAUUGUCAGACGGAGGAUAUGGUGAUGCCCUGAGUUCCGAUUGCAGAAGACGCCUCUCAGCCUGGGCCAAAAGCUUCUCCAAGGAUGUAUGGACAUGAGGCGCCGGGGAAGGUGGUCACAGAGGGUCAUAGGAUGUAAUGACGUAGCUGCCUGGACCCACACCUGUUAGGGCUCAGGGAUGUGUGUGUGGUCUUGUGGUUGGACAGAGACAUCCCUAAGCGUCUACCACGUCAGAGAGAUAACCAGAAAGAGGAAAAGUUGGAGACACCCUCCAUCCAGAAAUUUCCUUUCUUGAGGGUACCCGCCUGCUGUUCACUUCAGCAAAGUUCCUCAUUAACAUGGCCCUGCUGAGUCCAGAGAUUUGGUCCCAGAUUAUCUAAUCAUCCUCUGUCUUCCCUGGAGUGGAUAAACUGAUAUAUGCUGGGAAGCUUUGGUGAGUUUACAUCUCUUUUAAUAUGCAUUGGGCACAGAUGGUUACCAGGUUGUCUGCUAUCUGUAAGUCUUCUUUCAUCAAAGGCUGAUCAAACUUCAGUGCAAGCAGCUUUAAAGGGACAAGCUUCUGGGCUUGGAAAUGCACGGAUAAUACACACGUUGCUGUGGUGGCUCCGUUGUUAAUGAAAGAAAAAUGAUCCACAUCCUCUUCUGGGAUAACGAAGUCUCUGAAUAUAUUUAUUUCAAGAUUUAGGGGCUGGGAGGAACUAGCCACAAAUCACAGAGCAACCAUUAACGAGCCUCUGUCCCUACCUGUUAAGCUUAUUAACUGCCUGUUCCCUACAGCGCUAUUUCCCACCUGGGGCAACACAAUGGCUGCUUCUGCCGUUUCAGCGGCUGAAAAACACAGAAGUUCAUCAAAGGCACGGGAGGACCUGGAAAUGCAAUCAGGAGACGUGUGCCGGCUGAGAUUGCUGGGGCAGUGGGAGGUGGCCGGGGGGAAGGAUCUGGUGCUGUCUGAGCUGAGAUUUAGCUAAUUAAAUCCGGCUGUCCUUUGCUCUGUCUUCUCACUCCAUGCAAGCCAAGGGCGUGAAAGGUUCCGUCCCUGCCCUCAAGGAGCCCCUGUGCUCUUCGGGUGGGGAGGCUCCACGGAACUGAACACAGGGAUUCUUCUGGGACGCGGGUCGGUGGCAGCGAUGCUGCGGCUACAUGAGUAAGUGCUAAAGUCACAAAAAGAGUGGACAGGGCUCUUAGCUGGGGCAGAGGGGACUUCGGUUUUGCUCCCGUUCUACCCUGUGACAGGGGCCGAGCUGUUCAUUUUCUUUGUCUCAGUUUUCUUCUGAAGAGUUUGACCUUGGUCAUUGCUAAAAUAAAAUAUUCAUGAGAUGCACUCUUAUGUAUCCAUGAGACGGGUGUAGGGAUGGACAAUUGCUUCGAGGGAGGAGCCUUAAUCUGAGCAUUUAGCAAAGUGGAGAGGAGGCAGGAGACCUGGGCUUGGGGGCGGGUGUGCCUCUGCAGAGGGCCUGGCCCGCCCUGGGCCUCCAGCCGAGCGGGAGGAGUGGGCACUAGCCAGAGGCAGGGAGGAGGGCGGACUCAGCUCCGGGAGCGGGCGGCGCAGAGAGCCCUGCUGGGCCUCGCGCUGUGCUCCUCAGCCCCCGUGUCUCAGGGGCCUUCUCAAAGGUGAUUUUCCCACUUUAAGGCAAGGUUCUUUCUACCAAGAGCAGCGGCAGUCUUUUUAAUGUAAUUGGAAGGUAAAGAUAAACACCGAAAACAAAAAAGCCUUGGCUCUAUGAUUAAUUAACGGAAUCAUCUCAAAUUUAGAAAAUUGCUUCAAUAAAAG